AAGCGAAACCGCCCCGCCUGGGGCGGUCGUGGGGGCGUGGUGGCCCCUGCCUGAUGAGCAGCCAAAG
rnacentral:hammerhead_ribozyme from 1 species